UACGAAGGGUGCAAACGUUGCUCGGAAUUAUUGGGCGUAAAGAGCUCGUAGGCGGUUUGUCGCGUCUGCUGUGAAAACCUAAGGCUCAACCUUGGGCUUGCAGUGGGUACGGGCAGACUAGAGUGCGGUAGGGGUGACUGGAAUUCCUGGUGUAGCGGUGGAAUGCGCAGAUAUCAGGAGGAACACCGAUGGCGAAGGCAGGUCACUGGGCCGCAACUGACGCUGAGGAGCGAAAGCAUGGGGAGCGAACAGG
rnacentral:rRNA from 1 species